rnacentral:rRNA from 1 species
AACGUAGGAGACAAACGUUAUCCGGAGUUACUGGGCGUAAAGGGCGUGCAAGUGGUCUGUUAAGUCUGGCGUGAAAGCUCUCGGCUAAACCGGGAGAGGUCGUUGGAUACUGGCGGACUAGAGGACGGUAGAGGCGUGUGGAAUUCCGGGUGUAGCAGUGGAAUGCGUAGAUAUCAGAAGGAACAUCAGUGGCGAAGGCGGCUUCCUGGACCAAUACUGACGAUCAGGUGCGAAAGCGUGGGGAGCAAACAGG